rnacentral:rRNA from 1 species
CAGAUCCAAUUUUCUGCCACCGAAUACAUUAGCAUGGGAUAAUGGAAUAGGACCCUGUCCUCCUAUUUUCAGUUGGUUUUGGCAGCGCGAGGACUAGGGUAAUGAUUAAUAGGGAUAGUUGGGGGCAUUAAUAUUUAAUUGUCAGAGGUGAAAUUCUUGGAUUUAUGAAAGAUUAACUUCUGCGAAAGCAUCUGCCAAGGAUGUUUUCAUUAAUCAAGAACGAAAGUUAGGGGAUCGAAGACGAUCAGAUACCGUCGUAGUCUUAACCAUAAACGAUGCCGACCAGCGAUUAGGAGACGUUGAAUACAAAACACCACCAUCGGUGCGGUCGUCCUUGGCGUCGGUCUUUCGGGGCCGGCGCGGGGACGGCUUAGCCCGGUGGCACCGGUGAAUGACUCCCU